UUUGAGGUGUAUGGUGCAUUUGAAGCCUUCCACAUGGACUACUUGGUUGCCUCUAGCUGAAUGGUGGUAUAAUUCUUCUUUUCACAGUGCUAUUAAAAUGUCUCCUUUUGAGGCACUUUAUGGAUAUGCUCCACAAUUUUUACUCAUGGGAUCUUUAGGAGAUUUGAAGGUGGGGGCAGUAGUAGAAUUUCUGCAGGAUAGAAAGCAAUUUACUACUUUGUUGAAAGAAAAUCUGCUUCAAGCUCAGAAUAGAAUGAAGCAACAGGCUGACAAGGGAAGGUCUGAAAGAGAAUUUUCUGUUGGAGUUUGGGUUACUCGAGUCUGCAACCCUACAGACAAGCAUCUGUGGCGUUGAGGCAGAAUUUAACACUAUCUGCCAAAUAUUAUGGUCUCUUCGAGAUUGUUGCUAGAAUUGGUUAUGUUGCUUACAAGCUGGACUUACCCUCUUUUUCUGCCAUUCACCUGUUUUUCAUGUUUCUCUCUUAAAGAAGAAACUUGGAGCAGCAAUAACUCCAAUUACAGACUCUCCUACUUGUAUAGACGAUCAGCUCGAAGUUUAUCCUGAGAAACUCUUGCAUACAAGAGUCAUCUUCCGGGGUGACCAGCAAGUGGGACAAGGCCUUAUCAAGUGGAUGCAUUUACCUGAAGAGGAUGCCACUUGGGAAGAUAG
rnacentral:misc_RNA from 1 species